rnacentral:pre_miRNA from 1 species
UGGAAGACUAGUGAUUUUGUUGUUGUAAGCCUUAUUGCAUGACAACAAGUCACAGUCUGCCUCA